AGCGAACGCUGGCGGCAGGCCUAACACAUGCAAGUCGAACGAACUCUUCGGAGUUAGUGGCGGACGGGUGAGUAACACGUGGGAACGUGCCCUUAGGUUCGGAAUAACUCAGGGAAACUUGUGCUAAUACCGAAUGUGCCCUUCGGGGGAAAGAUUUAUCGCCUUUAGAGCGGCCCGCGUCUGAUUAGCUAGUUGGUGAGGUAAUGGCUCACCAAGGCUACGAUCAGUAGCUGGUCUGAGAGGAUGACCAGCCACAUUGGGACUGAGACACGGCCCAAACUCCUACGGGAGGCAGCGGUGGGGAAUCUUGCGCAAUGGGCGAAAGCCUGACGCAGCCAUGCCGCGUGGAUGAUGAAGGUCUUAGGAUUGUAAAAUCCUUUCACCGGUGAAGAUAAUGACUGUAGCCGGAGAAGAAGCCCCGGCUAACUUCGUGCCAGCCGCCGCAGUAAGAC
rnacentral:rRNA from 1 species